AGAGUGAACGCUGGCGGCAGGCCUAACACAUGCAAGUCGAACGGCAGCACAGGGGAGCUUGCUCCCUGGGUGGCGAGUGGCGGACGGGUGAGGACAACGUCGGAAUCUGCCUUUUUGUGGGGGGAUAACGUAGGGAAACUUACGCUAAUACCGCAUACGACCCCGGGCCGGGAGGUACGGGGUGAAAGCGGAGGACCUUCGGGCUUCGCGCAGAGAGAUGAGCCGACGUCGGAUUAGCUAGUUGGUGGGGUAAAGCCCACCAAGGCGACGAUCGUAGCUGGUCUGAGAGGAUGAUCAGCCACACUGGAACUGAGACACGGUCCAGACUCCGUACGGGAGGCAGCAGGUGGGGAAUAGUUGGAACAAGUGGGACGACGAAGCCU
rnacentral:rRNA from 1 species